AGAGUUUGAUCAUGGCUCAGGACGAACGCUGGCGGCGUGCUUAACACAUGCAAGUCGAACGAUGAGGCCCUUCGGGGCGGAUUAGUGGCGAACGGGUGAGUAACACGUGGGCAACCUGCCCUCCACUCUGGGAUAACUCCGGGAAACCGGGGCUAAUACUGGAUACGACCCUCCCUCGCAUGGGGGUGGGUGGAAAGUUUUUCGGUGGAGGAUGGGCCCGCGGCCUAUCAGCUUGUUGGUGGGGUGAUGGCCUACCAAGGCGGUGACGGGUAGCCGGCCUGAGAGGGCGACCGGCCACACUGGGACUGAGACACGGCCCAGACUCCUGCGGGAGGCAGCAGUGGGGAAUAUUGCACAAUAGGCGAAAGCCUGAUGCAGCGACGCCGCGUGAGGGAUGACGGCCUUCGGGUUGUAAACCUCUUUCAGCAGGGACCAAGCGUGAGUGAGUGUACCUGCAGAAGAAGCACCGGCUAACUACGUGCCAGCAGCCGCGGUAAUACGUAGGGUGCGAGCGUUGUCCGGAUUUAUUGGGCGUAAAGGGCUCGUAGGCGGCCUGUCGCGUCGGAAGUGAAAGCCCACUGCUUAACGGUGGGUCUGCUUCCGGUACGGGCAGGCUGGAGUAUGGCAGGGGAGACUGGAAUUCCUGGUGUAGCGGUGGAAUGCGCAGAUAUCAGGAGGAACACCGGUGGCGAAGGCGGGUCUCUGGGCCAUUACUGACGCUGAGGAGCGAAAGCGUGGGGAGCGAACAGGAUUAGAUACCCUAGUAGUCC
rnacentral:rRNA from 1 species